GCCCGCCCCUAGCUUGAGUCAGCCCGGCACAGCCCCUUUCCGGCCCUCAGGCCCCAUCCCCAGCCUGGAGUGACACAGCCCGCGCCCCGCCCUAUAUCUCCGCCCCCAGCCUGCAGCCUUAAGGGCACUCCUUGCCCCUCCCCGCCUCCAGGCCCCGCCCCAGGGCUCCCAGCUGCCGGGCCGCGAGCUUCCAGCUGCGGGACUUCCGGCCCCCUUUCUCGCAAGAUGGCGUCCGCUGCAGGGACCUACCAGUCUUGCUUUCCUCUCGCUCUGUUCAGGCAUAUCCUUGGCUCUGCUUUCUGACCAAUCUCAGCCUCAUGUGAUACACCAAUUUCUCUCUUGGUUAGCCUAGGCUUUUCAUAACAGAGUAUAAAACCAAGGACUUAGAACAAGGACUGGAUCUAAAUCCUUUCCCAAAGCAGUGUGAUCUUGACCUUCCGACCUUCCUGAGUUAAAAGCGAUUAAAAUGUAAAGCUAUAGCCCUGCGCUCGGUUUAGAAUGAGGCCAUGGUCGGUGACUGCUAGUAUUUCUCUAAGGAAACUAUGGGCAUAUCCCUCAGUGUACUUUAAAUGGAUAGUGGAAAACUUCCAGUUUCUUGAGGUGAAAGUGCCCUAGAUAUAGUGCUGCACUGUGGAGAACACCUUGGAAUAAGAUGGAAUUGUAUAACCCUAAGUGUGCUGCAACCCCAAAGUGUGCUGUGACUUUAAGAGUGCUGUAACCUAAGUAUAACACAAUAAUGAGUGAUGUGUAAUCAUAAGAUAUGAAAGUAAUGAAAGUAGAACCUUAAGUGGUAUGGAACUGAUAAGGGCGUACCCCCGAAAAUUGGGCAGAGUAUGCCCCAAGCUGGACAGUGUGAUAAGUCUGAACCAAUACCACGAACGCCCAGCUAGAAUAGUAUAAAAGGAGCUGAAGACCCCAAGCAAAUCGACGAUCCGUCCCACCAACCAGUCGACCAGUCAAUCUGAUGAUCUGACUACCGACCGAGACAUCUGCACUCCUGAUCCCGCUGGGAGGAGCAUCGCCGCCGACCAGACGAGACCAGAGGACGAGGCAAGCGGAGAGGCGGAUAGCCUAGCGCUGACUCGACGCCCUUCGUCUACGGAUUGGACCCUCUGACCCUGCGGGAGGAAACGUCGCACUCCCAUUAAGGACUUGCGCAGUACAGGAAAUUUGAAGAAGAAGGCUUAUCUGGCUCAGACUGGUUGAAACCAUGUCUAUCUGCAGGAAGAACAGGCAACAUUCUGAUGUCAGAGGGCAAAACCUGCCUUCAGAGGAAGAUGCUCAACAGCCCAUGGUGUGUAAGCCAAUGUCCACACUUUAUGAGCAGAGAGCUAAGAUGGACCCCGAGGGUGCUGGACACAACAGCAGGAAAUAGGGGUGAGGAGGAAAAACCGGACCAGGGAGAGCUGCCUGCUGUCUGGACACUCCUUGAAGGCCCUCGGGACUCCCCAGGCCCCAGGGGAAAGAUCCUGGAGCAUUACAGAUGAUGUGUGGAGGAGUUCUUUGGAGGUGCAGUGGCCAUCUUCUGACCAUAGAGGGCAAGCUUGAAGAUUAAAACCAAUGUGCUCAGGAUGAAGAUUUGGGAAUGUGGAAAGAGUCCAGUCCUCAGGAAGUCAUGGAGCCAUGGAAGUGCUAAGUAGGAGAAUGGGAACUCCUGAAUCUGAACCUCCUCCUUUGCAGCAAAACAGUCCCCAGGUUUCCAAGUGACUGUAGAAGAUUAGCAGGCAGAGCCAACCUGCAAAUGUGCUACCCCCAGACUUCUUAUUAUGGUUGAUUGUGAGUGUAGUCCACUUUUAGUUGAUCACUUGCAGCUACAAACAACCUAACAGACAUAGUGGGCAUGUUUAAAUAAAUCUCUUUUGUGUUUCUGUUUGCUAUUUUUAAGCCCUUGAUGUAGUGGGGAAAAAAGGUCUAUUAAGUCCUGACCCAACAUUUCGCAUAAAAUUGAACUCACUUAUGCACUUGAAUAGAAUGAAAAUGAUGAUUCAGUUAGCACAAAGCCAUGAAUCAUGAAAACUAAAUUAUUAUGGUAGCUUAUUUUACAUAAAAUCAGCUUUUGAUAGGAUAUAAAUUGAAAAGCACACAAUAUAAGUAGUAGAGGUAGAGGCUUUAAAAUAUCUAUGUUGAUGAUAGGAAAUGAAAUUAAAAUAUUUUGCAAGGAUUAUUCUCAAAGCACAUAACUGAGAACUGACUGAGUGUUGGCAACAAAGGAAAAUUUAUCUCCUGUUACAUGAUGUGGGACAUAACAUUCUUAUUAAGUAGAAUUGGAAUUUUCUGAAUCUCCUUUGCAACAAAACAGCUCCCAAGUUGCAAAUUGAAUCACAAGAUUAGUAGGCAGACUGAUGAGGAUUUAAUUUUUAAAAUAUGCUGUAAUGUUUGAUGUCUAAGAAGCAGCCAUAAAACUGAAGAAGUAAAGGACAGCUGAUGAUCUGCCCUGUCCUUGCUCCUGCUUGUUCUCUUUGCAUUCCCAGACUGUGUUGUUUGGAAGCAAAGCUCUGUUGUUUUCUGGUCAGAAGAUUGCACCUUUGUGCCUGUAGACAAGGUGAUGACAGCCCCGGUUCCAGGAACCCUUGCUCACAAGCCUUCUUUGUGCUGGGCGAGGAAGUUCUAGCUUGGGAUUGCAUGACAUCACCAUGCUCCCACCCACUUCUCUGGAUCCCUCAACUCACAGAGAGUCAUUGUUUGUGGCUUUCGAUCUGAACAGCUGCUGGCUUUUCCUGGCUUCAUCACUGUGAAGAUGGUGAUCGUGCAAUGCUGAUAUCAAGAGAUCUGUGCUGCAGUCGGCCAUGGAUCAGACCAUCAGCCCUGGGCUCUGUUUAGGAAAGUCUGAUCACCAUAGCUGUAGCACAAUGCCUCCCAGCUUCCCUAGCUGGUCAGAGGUUUCCCCCACACAUUUCAUUGUUUUGGGUGCCUUCUUAGGUCGGAUCUCAUCUUCUCUGCCCAAUAAGCAAAAUUCCCCAUGUGUCUUUAGAAGAAUCCUUCUGAAAAGGGAUUUCAAUUUAGGUAAUACUAAAAUUAGGCAAAGUAAGUCAGGAGUCUAACUAUGAAAAGGUACCUAAUGAGAAUUCCAGCUUCACAAUAAAGUUCAAAAUUUUUUAAAAUGCAUGAAGUAUUGCAUUUAAACAGUUGAAUAGAACUUGUUUUGGACAAGCCACUGAAGGGAACACUGCAAAGCUAGCAUUCAGCUUUCAAGAUUAAAGAAGAGCAAAGAGCAACUUCAAAGCCCAUUGGGGAAUCUAUCAUGCUUCCCAAGGUGGCAAGGCAGGUAGUGGACUCACUGCUUCUUCUGACACUGGGGGCUUGGAUGCUGAGUCCAAGGGGCAUGCUUGAAUCUCCAGUAACUUCUGUGGUACUUGAUGGAGGUAGCCAGGUACACCAGAGGAGUUCAGGAGAUAUUCAUGGGCCUUACCUGGAUAACUCUUACCUGGAUCUAAUGUGUCUUCCACACUAGAUCAAUGCAUCUGUAACCAUCUUUCUGUCCAGAGCAGGAAAGCACGCCUGAAAUGCUGUGGAGGAUGUGUAUACUUGAGAUAAUUUUUCAGGAAUGUAGAGCUUUGAUUUCUCGGAUUUUCUUUUUAAAACUAUGAGCAAGAAUAAAAUAAAAUAUAGGAGAGGACAGACAAUCCUUGAGUGUAAGGAGAUGGAUAAUGGCUUGGGGCAGCUGAAUAAAUAAUGUAUAUUUAUCUGGCUCUCUUGACCUUACCCAAGCCUUUUUACAACUACCAGGUGUGUUAUGGACACAUUUUUCUAUGAAGUCAUCAAACUAAAUAGAGUGGAUCCUGAAUGACAAUCAAACCUCUAAAAAAGGAAAGCAAGAAGAAAAGCAUCACCAUCAUUUCCUCUCUGAGAUGUCCUUUGUCUUUGUCGUGGAAGCAUAGACUCAGGGGUGUGAGAUCAGAUUCGAGACUGUGCACUGUCACAUGGCAUUUUGUGCUUUCCGCCCAUCCUCAUUAUGGGCUGCUUGGGUUUGUCCUACACAAGUAACCCUGGUGCUCACUACACCCCAGGAACAAUUCAAUGAUGCUACCACAGUGUUUUGUACCUGGAAUGGGAAGGGCUCGGAAAAUGCUUGAUAAGUAAA